rnacentral:rRNA from 1 species
AACGAACGCUGGCGGCAUGCUUAACACAUGCAAGUCGAACGAAACGUUCGGGUCUGGUGGCGCACGGGUUCGUAAAGGGGGGGAACAUGCGCUUAGGUUCGGCAUUACUCCUCGAAAUGGGUGCUAAUACCGGAGAAUAUUUCCGGACCAAAGAUUUAUCGGCUGUGGAUGGGGCCGCGUUGGAUUGGUUAGGGGGUAGGGUAAACGCUUACCAAGGCGACGAGCGGUAACUGGACUGAGAGGAGGAACAGUCACACUGGGACUGAGACCCGGCCCAGACUCCUGCGAGAGGCAGCAGAGGGGGAUAUAGGACAGUGAGCGAAAGGCUGAGCCAGCGAUGCCGCGUGAGUGAUGAAGGCGUUAGAGUUGUAAAGCUCUAUUACCCGGGAUGAUAAUGACGGUACCGGGAGAAUAAGCACCGGCUAACUACGUG